rnacentral:rRNA from 1 species
UACGAAGGGGGCUAGCGUUGUUCGGAAUUACUGGGCGUAAAGGGCGCGUAGGCGGCGCUCUUAGUCAGAUGUGAAAUUCCUGGGCUUAACCUGGGGGCUGCAUUUGAUACGUGGUUGCUUGAGUGGGGAAGAGGGUCGUGGAAUUCCCAGUGUAGAGGUGAAAUUCGUAGAUAUUGGGAAGAACACCGGUGGCGAAGGCGGCGACCUGGUCCUUGACUGACGCUGAGGCGCGAAAGCGUGGGGAGCAAACAGG